UGAUUUGUAGUAGAAAGAGCUUGAUUUG
rnacentral:sRNA from 1 species